CUCCUGACCUCAGGUGAUUCACCUGCCUCGGCCUCCCAAAGUGCUGGGAUUACAGGCGUGAGCCACCGUGCCCGGCUGCACAAGCUCCGGGUGGAUAAGGCAGCUGCUGCAGCAGCGGCACUACAAGCCAAAUCAGAUGAGAAGGCGGCGGUUGCAGGCAAGAAGCCUGUGGUAGGUAAGAAAGGAAAGAAGGCUGCUGUUGGUGUUAAGAAGCAGAAGAAGCCUCUGGUGGGAAAAAAGGCAGCAGCUACCAAGAAACCAGCCCCUGAAAAGAAGCCUGCAGAGAAGAAACCUACUACAGAGGAAAAGAAGCCUGCUGCAUAAACUCUUAAAUUUGAUUAUUCCAUAGAGGUCAAAUCAUUUUGGACAGCUUCUUUUGAAUAAAGACCUGAUUAUACAGGCAGUGAG
rnacentral:sRNA from 1 species